rnacentral:rRNA from 1 species
GAUCAUGGCUCAGGAUGAACGCUAGCUACAGGCUUAACACAUGCAAGUCGAGGGGCAGCGGGAAGUUAGCUUGCUAACUUGCCGGCGACCGGCGCACGGGUGAGUAACGCGUAUCCAACCUUCCCCUUAGUAGGGCAUAGCCCGGCGAAAGUCGGAUUAAUACCCUAUGUUUUUCCGAUGAGGACAUCUGAGCUGGAAUAAAGAUUCAUCGCUAAGGGAUGGGGAUGCGUCCGAUUAGCUUGUUGGCGGGGUAACGGCCCACCAAGGCGACGAUCGGUAGGGGUUCUGAGAGGAAGGUCCCCCACACUGGUACUGAGACACGGACCAGACCCCUACGGGAGGCAGCAGUGAGGAAUAUUGGUCAAUGGGCGCGAGCCUGAACCAGCCAAGUAGCGUGCAGGAUGACGGCCCUAUGGGUUGUAAACUGCUUUUAUAGGGGAAUAAAGUUUCCUACGCGUAGGAUUUUGUAUGUACCCUGUGAAUAUGGACCGGCUAAUUCCGUGCCAGCAGCGGC